rnacentral:rRNA from 1 species
UACUAGAGUAGCACUCGCAUAUCAAUAAGCGGAGGAAAAGAAACUAACAAGGAUUCCCCUAGUAACGGCGAGUGAAGCGGGAAGAGCUCAAAUUUGAAAUCUUAAAGGGUUUCCCUUUACGAAUUGUAGUUUAAAGAAGUGUUUUCUGUUGAGGUUUUGGUAAAAGUUCUUUGGAAUAGGACAUCAUAGAGGGUGAGAAUCCCGUAUUUGACCUUUACUUUCAACUUUGUGAUACACUUUCAAAGAGUCGGAUUGUUUGGGAAUGCAGUCCAAAAUGGGUGGUAAAUUUCAUCUAAAGCUAAAUAUUGGCGAGAGACCGAUAGCGAACAAGUACCGUGAGGGAAAGAUGAAAAGAACUUUGAAAAGAGAGUUAAACAGUACGUGAAAAUUGUCAAAAGGGAAGCGUUUGACACCAGUGUUGUUUUUCUGAAAAUCAAUUAAAGAACUGUUUAUGCUAAGUUGUUUAGACUUUAUCAGCUAUCUGUUUAGUUUUAGGCUUUUCUUUAAUGCACUUUUCAGUUAACAAGUCAACAUCAAUUUCUUUUGCUGUAAAAAAGCUUGAGGAAGGUGGCUUGAGAUUCGUCUUAAGUGUUUAUAGCCUCUUGCCUAUGCAGUCGGAGAGAUUGAGGUCUGCAGCGUAGAUCCUUCGGGGCUAAAUGCAUUUGUGCUAAGUUAUAGCAUUUUGUAGACAACUUGUUGACUAUGAUUUGUCUUGUAGCUUACUCGCUUAUGUUAUUUUACCUACGCUUAGGAUGUUGAGCGCAUGUCUCUCUCU